CACAAUCUCUUUCAGGCAACACCGCUGGAUGCCGGUGGGAGUUUUGCUGCGGAGAGGGGCUACAGGGAGCCGUGGAUGGAUGUGGCCCAGCUCUGGGGAUCCAGCAGGGCCCGUGCAGGAUCAUGCCUGCCUCAGUCUCUCAGAAGGAUCUUCUGACCUGGGAAUCCCCACCACCAGUCCAGUGACGUGUCCAGCUGGUGCUCCUGAAAGAGCAAGAAUGACAGGCACAGUACAGAAGAAAUCCAAGCCUCUGUCAUUAAUAUCUUACAAAAGCUCCAGUCCUGCAGAUGCAAUUGGAAAUUCUUCAGCUUUAUUCAGUUUUUACAGCCUUCAUGUGCUGAGGGAUAACUUCUAUUAAUGCUUCUCAACCUCUGGUGCCCUAUGACCAGCAAAUGAGAUGAUGAAAUGUGUUGCAACAAGACUUGACGAUCAUUUAAAAACUGACAUUUCUUACAAUUUAUUGCAAACAGAAGUGUUACAUCAUACUUACAAUGCUAAAUUAAAAGGUUUUAUGGAAGGAAGAAAUACCUAUUUGGGUCUAGAGUAUAAUAAUGCCUAUCUAGUUUCAGUAUCAUUUUCUUUGCACUCAUUAAUUUUAGCAGGAUAUUUAUAAUCAUAAAUAAACAUUUGAUGUGGAAAUGCCUUUUCCUCAACAUUUCCAGACACAAUAUGUGUUUAGCCAGACAAAGGGUUUUUAUUUUCAAGGAAUGGUAUUUCAGAGCUGGAAAUGCCAGCUCCCUGGUGCUGAGAUGUAGUUUCUGGAAGUCUCUUCCAGAUGUGAAGCUUUAAGGAAUUAAGUUAUAUUGGGAAAAUGGAUUAUCCCUAGUGGAGAGCAUUUUAUCACCUUGUUAGGUUUAGGAAGCCCAAGUGAUACAGAAGAGUGGGGAAAAGAGAUGCUAGUACAAAAUGCUUCAAAUCACAGAACAACUGCCACUGAUAACAUCCUGAUACCACUGUAAAGCCUUUCUGAGAGCUAUUGCAUGCUUAAUAUGUUAUCAUUCAAUCAAGUGUAUGGAGAAGAACAAAAAGACACAGCAAGUCUGGACUGUCCCUGUGCAGCACACUGGAGUUGCCAAACAAAUGGAAAUGUUUGGAUGGAAGAGUGCCUCUGUAUAGCCAGCCAGCUUGCUGACAAAGGAAUGCCACCCGAUCUCUUGGACGUGCAUUUUUUAUGCUAUUUCUGUUGCUGUUUUUCUCUUGAUUUCUGCUUGCACUGCCUGUCUCAUUCUGCUUUGCUUCUGUGUGUGUGUGAGAGAGAGAGUGUGUGUUUUGUACAUAUCAUCAGAUUCGAGCUUGCCCUCUGAGGAUAUCAGUGCCCUAAUUAGCACAUCAGUAUUAUGCAAAAGGUAGCAGCACUUCUGGUUCCCCUCAGAUGCAGAGGGCUUGCUUAUCCUACACAGCCUUGUCUCAGAACAAGGGAAGUUUGUUUCUGGUGCACCUCUUUGGUGUCCUCUCCCUGUGAAUGGGACACCAAUUCCUCCCGGGAAUCCCUCUUGAGUUUUAAAUAAAGUGGCAGCCUGUUUUUUUAUAACCCUAUUUACAUCUGUGGCAUCACUUGCUUGCUGCUGGAGUCAAGGGCUACAGGUAACACAGGAACACAGACUCCGGUGCACUAAGAUUUUCAAAAUAUACUGCUUGUCCAUCACAUUUACCUGUGCACAAGGGUGAGCUGGGGAUGUCUACACUGGAGUCCCAGAUUUAAAGCAUGUUUAAAGCUUGUUAGGGUUGUACAGCACAGCACUCACAAAUCAAGAAAUGUCAAAGCUACGGCUCAUUUAUAAAUUCAUCCCUCUUUAAAAUACGAAUAACAGUGUAGGCAGCUUUUAAUUACAUAGCCAUGUUCUGUUUUCCCUGGAUUUAUGCAUGAGUGAGAGAGUACCUUGGUGUGCACAUAUAUAGAGCUAUGUAGUCUGGGAGAGCAUAUAUUAAGCCCCUUUUUCUUACCCAUAAAUAGAGAUGAUUCCAAACCAAAGCCCUAGCUUCAAGCUAGCUACGGACCUUAGGGAGUUCAAAAUCAGAAUCUGGAUUUGGAUCUGAAUUUAGCAGCUUAGGCCCAUCUGCAAUAAAUACAUACAGGAUGAAAUGUAGAUAACUGAGAUAUAAGGCUAUAUAGACUUCAAAGUGCCUCUGAUAAAAUCAUGAUAACCACAAGAAAGAAGUGGUAUGUGAUCUCAGAUGAGAUAUCCCCAAGAUGUCUAUACAGCUUAAUUUUCCCACAUUGUGUCCUUUUAUCUUCAAUGGAUAAAAGGUGAAUUAUUAUUAUUAUAGGCAGAGGAGUAGUAACGCCUGUUAUUCAGGUUGUCUAACACUUUCCAUUGUUCCUCCUCUCGUCAUUCGCUUACAACUUUUGCAGACUUGAACCCUUAGAGACAAAGUUUCCCAUACUUGGUGCUUGCCUCAGGUCACAUUUGAUCAAGAAUAGGUAUUCCACCUUCAAGACUGUAGCAAUAGUGCUGGCAAUAAAUCAUGUCAACAUUUGCUUCUGCAUUUGUAAACUGUCAUUUUAAGGUAGCUGGAGAGCGGACAGGAGAGCAAGCAAACAGACAGCUUUAAAAGCCUGCACUGUCAUACUCACCUUAUCAACUGAGCGAUCAUGUUAAAUCUCAAAUGACAGAAAGUCAGACAGCAGGUGGGUGUGCGAUGGAGAAGAAAAUGGCAUUUCUCACAUGAUGGUACCUGUGCUUUCCUUCUCACAGGAGCAGCCCCUGCCUGAAUACAGCAAUCCACCUGCUUUAAUAUCUGCAGGACUCAGUUUUCACAUAGCAAUGGAAAAAAUAAAAGAGGCCUAAGUAUGUGAAAUCCGCGCACCCCAAGAGCUGUCCCACAUUCCCCACCCAAUCAGCAGAUAGGAGCUCUGCUCAGCGAACCUGCCAUGGUAGCUGAUAAUUAUUGUUGUAUUAAUUGGUGCUGUCCAGACUAGACAGAAUGUAAAAGAUCCCACUGUGUCCAAUAAUUAAUGUUUUUCCCUCACUGCAAUGUCAUUAAUAAGGGGUUCCUCCAAGAAACGAGUAAUUGGAUGGUUCAGCUUCAUUAGGGUAUUUUUAGAUAAGGUUUGGUCUAGAGACAUAUAGGAAAGCUUAUUAUGUUUAUUUAGACUGCAUUAUCUAUUGCUAAUGUGUUAUACUGAUUUUGUAUCUUCCACAUUCUCUGGGAUUGUAAUGAUAAAAGAAAUGCACAAAUUACGACUUAAAUGAACAGAAAUACCGCCUUUAAUUCUGUUACAUUACAGUGAUGAAAAAAAUGUCAUCUCAAAAUAAAUAUCACCAAUAUCCUAUAAAUCUCCCCUUUUCUCAGAGACACACAAAGCUAUUGUCACAGGAAGACAAAAGUCAGAUUUUACUAAUUAGAGAUGAGUGUAGCGGAGCGUUCUUGUUUUGGCAAUUAUCUGAGCAGCUUUUGAAAAUGGAAUGUGUAAAUCUGGUUUUGGAAAUAACUUUGAAAAGAAGACUAAGGGGCUUUUUCAGGGGUAUCGUUUACACGGUCAUGUAUGACUUUAUUAUUCUGCAAAGAUGCCUUGGGAAUCUGACUCACAUGAAAACUUGAUAUGCAAGUGAGCUAUAGACCAGGAUGUGGCGGAUUUACACAGGAAACAUAUAUGGCUAGUCAAAACAGCUCUGUUUUACCACAAAGGAGCUUUGCACAUGCUUUGCGAGGAUUUUAUGUGGGAGCUUAUUCUUGAACACAGCACAUAGCCAGUCUUUCACAACCCAAAGUUACUCUAGUUAAAUUUUUAGGGCAAUAUAGCCAAACUGGUCCCAUUCACAGCUGCAUCCUCUUAAUCUCAUCACAAGACACAGAUCUCCCACUAGGAAAUGAUAAUCCACAGUUUAGUGUCUGUAUUAUACUUAUUUCAAACACAAGAGACCACAUUCAUCCCCAAGUAAUUCUCUAAAUGUGAGAGAUCUUGUUACAACACGGAUGCACUUGGCCCAUGGGGUGUCAGAUAGUGAAAUGGACUCAUCACACCAUGCUAAAUAAAAGUGAAGAAAAACAUCACCAAGGAAAAUACUGGGAGAGCUAGGUAAUUUUAGUUGAUCCUUAUUAAACUAUUGUGUCAGUCAAUGUUUUCAAUAGGUUCUUGCUGGAGAAGGGACACUGAGCCAGAAUCUCAUCUCAAGUAUUUACAAAUCUAGAGAAAAGAAUAUGCCUCCUCCUUCCUCUUCCCAAAUACUUCUCUGCCACAAAUCCUGCAUAUUGACAGCUCUAUGCAAACUGCUAGCAUUACUACUAUUUUAAAAACAAGAAUUCCUGUGAAAAAUAUGCAGGACACGUCCAGACAAAUGUCUAGAUGUGCCACACUAAGUUCAUCUCAAGUAAAGUUUAAUAUGGCUCCAGAAAAAUCACAUUGUAAAAUAUUUUUUUUGUCACAUUUGUGACAAGUGACAUAUCUCUUUAGAAUAAAUGAUCUUAAAUAGAUACACAGAAUUUUGUGUCCAUUUUUUUUCCUAUCACAAUGGCACAGGACUCAUGUCUAUUCUAGGAUAGCACAGAGUAAAUCACACAUAAUUCUGCUGAAGUCAGGGGUGUUACACCAGCGUAAGUCAUACUACAAUAACAUCCUCGGUGUCCCAGGUUCCUCAAUAAGAUUCACAAAAGUAAAUUCCAUUAGCAUGUGUAGAAAUGUGUCUUUCUCAUAAUGAUAUGACUAUAAACUUUUGUACUUGAGAAUAGUAGUAGAGAGACCCCUCAAAAGCCAGAUAUUGAUAGCUUGCUUUAUGUUUAAAGAUGUCAACAGAAUACAAUGGUUCUCAGCAUCCAUAUUAGUUAUCUUUAGUAAGAGAGAAGAAGAUUUAAAGUAAGGGAAUGAGGUUUGCAAUGUAACAAGAUAAAGUCAUCUCCAGCAGCCUAGAGGAUUUCUUUAAUCUUAUUUUUAGAGGAGAGCUGAGGAGCUUUUGCAAAACCGGCUUGUUUGGAUUCAGUUUCUAUUUUAUCUCAUCCACGAAAGUUUAGAGUUGAAGAGGGAAACAGAUAAAAGUUUUGAGCAAACUGAGAUGGUUUUACAUUGGUCUCAUCAACCUUUCUAAUCUAGGUUUGAUUUUGCAAAACCUGUCUUAAUCCAGAUCUCUCAUUAUCAGCCUACCAAAACACACACAAAAAUAGAAGUUUCAAAUUAAGAAGCAUUUUUAAAAGUCGUAUUUUCUUGCUUGCAUUUAGAUAAUUGCCACUUUUUUUUUUCCUUUCUUUUUUUCUUUCCAUUGACCAUACUGUAUGUCCACAACAAGGGUUUGAUAACUGUAAGUAGAAAUAUUUCAUCUAAAUUCUUUCAUGAAGACAUUUCUCCUAAAAUUAUCUUUGCCCAAGGAAAAUUUCAUCAUUAGACAAGACCCUGUUUUUCUUUACAGGAUUAUUAUUAUUUUUUUAAUCUUAAAAUAUUAUCCAGUACUAUACCAAUCUGAAUGCUCUGAAUAUAAACAAGAAAAGACAUUUUCAGGAUUCAGGAUUGUGCCUGUAUUUUGCUUUUCAGUCUCAUGAUCUUGAUAGAUACAUUCAAUCCACAGAAAUAAUAUAAACGACAACCAGGAUAUGUUCUUUUGACUCCGUGUCAUGUAUGUGUCCACCAACAUACUAAAAGGUUUAUCACUGAAAAUAUCUUCUUGCAUGAAGUAAUUAGUUAUCUGCUCUGAAAUAUGCAAUAGUCCUAUCAGCAGAACAACAAAAAAGAUCACUUGAUAUAUAUAUAUUUUUUUUUUCUCUGAAUUGCCAAUUCCUGGUUGCCAGUGUUGUGGUUCCUCACAGUCAGCCUGAUCAAAUCUGCAAUACAGAAAAUUAUUUCAUCCUCCUGGAGCUAGUAGAGAACUCUAAACCUCUACAUUUCCCACCAGGCAUCACAACUGCCACAUGAAACACAAAAGAUCAUCCAUUUUACUGCAGUCAUUCACCAUGGCCUUUGAGCUGGAUCAAAGUUUAGAUUAAAUAAAUAAAUAAAUAACCAACUAACUAGUCAUUUCCCUUGGGUGUCCCUUCCUUCUCUUCAGGUAAAAAGCAGAUAAAAGACCUAUUUUUCUGGAGUGUUUUGCACUAUUUGAUUCAUUCAAUACUGACAAAUAUUUUUGUCCUGUCUCCAAAAAGCUUCUGGGGAUAAACAUUAAUGUCCUGAAGGACCUCAGGCCUUUCCCUAAAGACUGAGCAUUCUUAUCAUUUGUCCCUACAUCUCUAAAGUUCCUGCAGGCAAAUAUUUACAAGCUCUGUCCUUUGCCUCAUAUUGCUUAACAAGAAGGCGGCUGGAAGAACAAGAAAGACAAAGUGGUUAGAAAUGCCAGGAGUGAGAAGAUUAUACUUACUUGUACAUCUCCUUGCUAUCAGAUACAACGUCUUACACAUUUGUCAACGUCCAGCUGCAACAAACAUGGAUUCACAUCUACUGGGACCCACAGGCUGACAGCGAGAAGGGAAGUGCUCGAUAAGACUUGUUCCCAUAAUGGUCAAGGGACUUUGCCUUUGAACUGCAAAGUCAGUCUCAGCUGACUUUCAGUGUCCUUACAUAGACACACACUUGGCUUGUAGAGCCAAACAUAGCAAUGACAACUAAAAUCAACCAUGUCCGACUGCACCAGGCCCAAAGGGCGUGAUCCACUCUAGUAGACUCGGAUCUAGCCAUGGUGAUUCAGAAGCUGAUGAGCUCCAGGCAAGAUUACUAUAAUUUGUAAAAAGAAAUAAAGCCACAAAUGUCAUUACGAACCAUAAUUCAACAAUGUUUACUUAACAGGACAGGUCAGCUCUCAACACCAGAUGCACAGAGCAAUCUAGUUGAAGGUUCUGUCUUGCUAUUCAAAAUUACCUCUGAUUCUUCAGGAAAACAUUAGCUUCCAUGAUAACUGACUCACCAGAAAGUAGCAAUAAAGAAUAAUCUGAAAACAAAUAAACUAAUUAAGUGACUUCUCAUGCAAAGAUCUGGUUUCUGCUCAUUUCCCGACAUACCUGGGAUCCUCUCCAGCACUGCCUGCGGGGUCUGGGUACCUGGACUGGCAGUAAUUCUGCAGCAUCACUCACCAAGUGCUCUCAGCACAGAAAGCUUGUGUAAACAGGUUGUGCUUUUCUCUCUGCUUUGUUGAGCUGCCGUGUUACUGUGAGGAAAAGGUAUUUUGAUCAUCAGCAGAUUGUGAUUGUCCUGCUUUUUUUAUUGUUUGUUUGUUGCAGCUUAAACUGAAACUGGCUGAGCCAACCUUAUAGCUAUCAUGCAACCAGACUGGCUGCUUUGAGAAUUUGCUCAA